UUUUAUACGCGGUUGCGUGAGUGAUAGUAGCGGCAUCCUUUUCUUUUUUUCUUAAAAAAAGAAAAGAUAGAGCGGAUAGCACGACCCGAA
rfam:Flavobacterium aquatile LMG 4008 contig3, whole genome shotgun sequence.